CACGCAGAGCCUCUCCCACUGACCUCGCGGUCUGGCAAACGCACCUACAGUGAAGUCACCGUAAGAGCAGGAAUCAAAGACCAGAGACUUUAAUAGCUCCCCACGGUGACUAACUGUGGAUUUUGGCUAAGGAAAAAGCAGAAUGCCAUCCUCACCAGAUACGGCAGCAGAUGAAGAGAAAGGAGCAAAGGAGCGCCAUCACGGGCCUCAGGAGACAAGCAAAUGAGAAAAGUAAGGGUGAGUUGGCCAAGAUCGCCCAGCCAGCAAGCGGCAGAGGAAUAAACUGACCCCAGGACUUCCAAAUGCUACGGCCUGUGCUCUGGGGUGUCUGCAGCAGGAGUGGCAGCUGAGCAUCGGGACUGACAGUGGGGACCUGGGAGUCACCAACACUCACCUUUACUGGCUGUGUGACCCAGGGUGAGUUAAUUAUCCUCAUCUCGUCUCAGUUUCUUCAUCCAUAAAACAGUGCUAAUAACAACUGUGACACACGGUUACCGUGAGGAUUAAAGGAGAGAAGGUAUAUGCAAAGCACUCAGCUCACUGGCCAACACACAGUCAACACUCACGAAAUGGCAGUUGUUUUUAUUACACUCCACUGCCCAGGCAGGGACAUCUGUGUCUUCUGAACUCUCUACUUGCCUGUAUAGUGGCCACGAGAUACAAAACUCUGUAUGCAGCAGGUGCUUAACACAGGUUGGGGAAGAACAACUUCCUUCUAUCCAGCUACCCCACCUCCCAAACAGCCGUGGCCGAGAUUCACAGCCACAGGCGACGAGAAUAAGCCCAGUGCCAGAGGCAGGGUGGGACUGCUACACCGGGUCACAAUGGCCAGGGGGGCUGGGACCAGGUGGCAUCUGUGAAUCUGCCCUUGAUGAACACGUUCCGGGCCCAAGGAGGCCACGGCCACAGGCCACCCACAAGAUGGCCGCCAGCGGGGCGUGGGCAGCCCGGCACACUCGGGCCUCCCCGGUGGCGGCCGCGUUUCCUCCACUUUCUGCCUCACACCUCCCUCCCCUGGGGCUCCAGAUCUCUGCUCCCAGGGCUGGGGAACAUGUCUGUCCUUGGUGAGAAGAGCAAAUAAAAGCGCAUGGCCUACUUCCAGCAACCUCGCUGUUUCUCACUUGAAGAUUAAAAUAAUAAACACACAGACAUAGAGGCUGGAGAGUGAGGGGGAAACGAAGCAGCAUCGGAGCCGCGGCACGAGGCCUCACGCAGCCCAGGGCUGCGGUAACCUGGCAACCUGCGAAAGGAAGAAGGCAGGAAGGGGACCUGUGUACAAGCAACAGCCAACUGUCACAGCCUGAGACGAUGGGAAAUGCAAGUCCACAGCAAAUCCACUCAGCACCUACAUUUACUCGAGGCCACCUGGUGGGGGAACUUAACCCCAGAUCUCUUGGGAGCUCAGUGACUCCAGCAUCCUGCCUCUGCCACGAGCUGGGAGGAAGAUCUCUGCGGUGUGUUGAAUGCUCUUUUCUUUCUGUUCCUGUGUGGCUGUGAGCCUCUGCAUGGCCAGGAGACGCCACCUGCCCCUGCCAGCCAGGCUGCCUCUGCACCUGUGCCAGGAACCUGGAAGGGUCAGGACUCACUGGAGGCAAAGGGGCUCCAGGAAGGAGGCAGAAGUUGAAGGGGGCUCUGAGGAAUCCAAAACUUGCGAUAAAAACAGCAGGAGCAAAGGCAACUGAAGGGGCAGGAAUGACGUGUGGAAGAGCACGGAAGCAGAGCCCUGCAGGCUCAGAGAACAAUUUGUAGAGAAGUCUGACUGGCCGAAGGUUUCUUCCCUUGUUCAUUUUUUGAAAAUUUACACCUCUGCUUUUAAUUGUUUCAUAUUUUACACACCUGUCGGUAAUGUUUCAUUUGAAU
rnacentral:lncRNA from 1 species